rnacentral:rRNA from 1 species
GUGCCAGCCGCCGCGGUAAUACGUAGGAUGCAAGCGUUGUCCGGAUUUACUGGGCGUAAAGCGCGCGCAGGCGGCAGGUUAAGUAAGGUGUGAAAUCUCCCUGCUCAACGGGGAGGGUGCACUUUAGACUGACCAGCUAGAGGGCGGUAGAGGGUGGUGGAAUUGCUGGUGUAGCGGUGAAAUGCGUAGAGAUCAGCAGGAACACCCGUGGCGAAGGCGGCCACCUGGGCCGUACCUGACGCUGAGGCGCGAAGGCUAGGGGAGCGAACGGGAUUAGAUACCCGUGUAGUCC